rnacentral:rRNA from 1 species
CAGCAGCAGCCGCGGUAAUACGUAGGGUGCAAGCGUUGUCCGGAAUUAUUGGGCGUAAAGAGCUCGUAGGCGGUUUGUCGCGUCUGCUGUGAAAUCCCGAGGCUCAACCUCGGGCUUGCAGUGGGUACGGGCAGACUAGAGUGCGGUAGGGGAGAUUGGAAUUCCUGGUGUAGCGGUGGAAUGCGCAGAUAUCAGGAGGAACACCGAUGGCGAAGGCAGAUCUCUGGGCCGUAACUGACGCUGAGGAGCGAAAGCAUGGGGAGCGAACAGGAUUAGAUACCCCGGUAGUCCCUGUCUCUUAUAA